GAUGACUUGUUCUAACAGGUCACCAUUCCUUUAUUACUUGUGAUAACCUAUCAAGCAUCACAAAGGAAUAUUCUUUAUUCCUUUUCCUUCCCUACCACUCAUUCAAAAUAUCUAUUUUUCCUCUCAUUCUCACCACACAUUCAAAUUUUCUGAUCACUUUCUCUCUCAUGCGGGUCCCACUUCACCAAUCAGAUUCCCCUUUCCUCUCUCUCUUCUCCCACUUCACCAAUCAGGUUCCCUCACUCACGCUCUCCCUCAACCUCUCGACUCUUUUUCUCUUCCUCUCCAAACCCAUUUUCUUCUUCUCUUUUCUCAUCACCAAGUCUGCUUCUUCUUCUUCUCCCUUGACAGAGCACCACCACCACCGCCCCUCUUACUCUCUCUCGGCCACCACACCACCUUGGCUGCUCCCUUCGCCACAAAACUGUGCACCACCGUCGCCCCUUGGUUCAGCUGUGAACCAUGGACACAACCGCCACAAGCAACGACGAACCACCGCCACCUUGAGGCCACGACCGCGAGCUCCUCUCCCCCUGUCAUAACGAGCACCGCCACUCAACCACCACCUCCUGGAUCGACGAAAAGCAACACAAAAUAGAGGAGAAAAGAAAACCCUAAAACCGCCACCUUUCUUCUCCGAUCUCCGGCGAACCACUGAGUUUUUGGAGAAACCAACACCACGGCUAGACUCCCCUCAUCAUCCGCUUCAAAACCCCUAAAGAAAUUUUGGAUUCCGACCACCUUCGGCGGAAACCGCCGCCAACCACCGUCUUCUCCAGAGAGACCUUCGCCGGAGAAUUUCCAGAAUGUGGUCCAGUGUUUGAGGAGUUAAAGCUUGUGAGCCAUGCUCUAUCCUCAAGAAGGAGAUGGUAAACCCAUCUGAAUAUUUCUGCUGUAUUAUUGUUGCUGUCACGAGAUUAUAGUAGUUGCUGAUUUGUUAAAUAGUUAGGUUUAGUGAACGAAUUUGAAGAAGUGGUCUUCAUAAAAGUUGUAGCAUUUUCUGUUAGCAAACUUUUGUCACCGGUUUCAUGUAAUUUCGAUUUCUCUAGCUCAAGUUAUACACAUUUUAGUGAGAACGGGUUAAGCUGUCCCGUUUCUCACGAAUUGCUAUAGUAUUCGAUUUUUCCUGAA